GGUUCGAUGCCGAAGUUGGUUAUCGCAUCUGUCUAACAUCUCUGCCUUUUCUAUCUGUUACACGGAAGACCUCAGCUCGAACCUGGGUCGAAUCA